rnacentral:rRNA from 1 species
AUUGAACGCUGGCGGCAGGCCUAACACAUGCAAGUCGAGCGGAUGACGGGGGCUUGCUCCUGGAUUCAGCGGCGGACGGGUGAGUAAUGCCUAGGAAUCUGCCUGGUAGUGGGGGACAACGUUUCGAAAGGAACGCUAAUACCGCAUACGUCCUACGAGAGAAAGCAGGGGACCUUCGGGCCUUGCGCUAUCAGAUGAGCCUAGGUCGGAUUAGCUAGUUGGUGAGGUAAUGGAUCACCAAGGCGACGAUCCGUAACUGGUCUGAGAGGAUGAUCAGUCACACUGGAACUGAGACACGGUCCAGACUCCUACGGGAGGCAGCAGUGGGGAAUAUUGGACAAUGGGCGAAAGCCUGAUCCAGCCAUGCCGCGUGUGUGAAGAAGGUCUUCGGAUUGUAAAGCACUUUAAGUUGGGAGGAAGGGCAGCAAGCGAAUACCUUGCUGUUUUGACGUUACCGACAGAAUAAGCACCGGCUAACUACGUGCCAGCCGCCGCGGUAA